rnacentral:rRNA from 1 species
GAAUGCCUACGGGAGGCAGCAGUGGGGGAUAUUGCACAAUGGGGGAAACCCUGAUGCAGCGACGCCGCGUGGGAGAAGAAGCGCCUCGGCGCGUAAAGCCCUGUCAGCAGGGAAGAAAAUGACGGUACCUGAAGAAGAAGCCCCGGCUAACUACGUGCCAGCAGCCGCGGUAAUACGUAGGGGGCAAGCGUUAUCCGGAUUUACUGAGUGUAAAGGGAGCGCAGGUGGCAUGGUAAGCCAGAAGUGAAAACCCAGGGCUCAACUCUGCGGAUUGCUUUUGGAACUUUCAAGCU